GUACACGCUGUGAUUAGCAUAUCAAUAAGCGGAGGAAAAGAAACUAACAAGGAUUCCCCUAGUAACGGCGAGUGAAGCGGGAAGAGCUCAAAUUUGAAAUCUUAAAGGGUUUCCCUUUACGAAUUGUAGUUUAAAGAAGUGUUUUCUGUUGAGGUUUUGGUAAAAGUUCUUUGGAAUAGGACAUCAUAGAGGGUGAGAAUCCCGUAUUUGACCUUUACUUUCAACUUUGUGAUACACUUUCAAAGAGUCGGAUUGUUUGGGAGUGCAGUCCAAAAUGGGUGGUAAAUUUCAUCUAAAGCUAAAUAUUGGCGAGAGACCGAUAGCGAACAAGUACCGUGAGGGAAAGAUGAAAAGAACUUUGAAAAGAGAGUUAAACAGUACGUGAAAUUGUCAAAAGGGAAGCGUUUGACACCAGUGUUGUUUUUCUGAAAAUCAAUUAAAGAACUGUUCAUGCUAAGCUGUUUAGACUUUAUCAGCUAUCUGUUUAGUUUUGAGCUUUUCUUUAAUGCACUUUUCAGUUAACAAGUCAACAUCAAUUUCUUUUGCUGCUAAAAAAGCUUGAGGAAGGUGGCUUGAGAUUCGUCUUAAGUGUUUAUAGCCUCUUGCCUAUGCAGUCGGAGAGAUUGAGGUCUGCAGCGUAGAUCCUUCGGGGCUAAAUGCAUUUGUGCUAAGUUAUAGCAUUUUAUAGACAACUUGUUGACUAUGAUUUGUCUUGUAGCUUACUCGCUUAUGUUAUUUUACCUACGCUUAGGAUGUUGACGAGACUGUCGAUCUC
rnacentral:rRNA from 1 species